CAAGUACUCCCUCCGUUCCAAAUUACUCGUCGCAGAAAUGGAUGUAUCUAGUAGUAAAAUACAUCUAGAUACAUCCAUACUUGCGACAAGUAAUUCGGAACGGAGGGAGUACACU
rfam:Triticum urartu cultivar G1812 contig378891, whole genome shotgun sequence.